rnacentral:tmRNA from 1 species
GGGGGCGUCAAGGUUUCGACGGAGAAUGUACUUUAAAAUCUGCAAGCCAAGCUUGACCUAUACUUGUAAAAAGAGGUCAAAAAAUAAUUGCUAAACCCAAUUAUGAAUACGCUUACGCUUAAACUCGUAAGCUGUCUACCUUGUGUGUUUUCUGACCGCUGAGGAUAGGCAUAAACCAGUCAGGAUGCGGUAAGUGCGAUAGGCUUUACGCAUUUGCCUAAGACUUAAAGCUACUCUUUCAACUGUUUUGCUGGUUUUUGUAAGUUGAAAGUAUAUUAAAAACCCCAGCCAUAGGCUGGUCGUCCUUUGGACGAGGCUAAGCUUGUAGAAGAUUUUAAAAAUAUUUUUCGGACGCGGGUUCGAUUCCCGCCGCCUCCACCC